rnacentral:lncRNA from 1 species
ACAGAGGCAGGGAAGGUUGGGGCGGGCAGGCAGACCAGCACCACAGCUGGUAACUCCACCUCCCAUCACAGCAGAGGGUGUGGGGUGGGCUAACCAACAGCCGCAGUACCAGUACCACGGACUGGAAUCCUGCCUGCAUCUGCCCUCCCGAGGACAGCGCAGCCCACAAGGAUAAGGGUACAUCUGGCUGGUGUCUUGAUCACUACAAAUGCUAGUGACCAAGACAGAGGAUCUGCAGAUGACUUGUCUCCCCCACCCAGGGACCAGAUGCUGUGGGAGCCAGUGCCACUGAUCUCAGCCAAGAGGCUAAGAAGUGAUGAGCGCGCACACACACGAGCCAUCAGGACGCAGAAGUAAGACUGCUAUUUAACCUCAGAAUCCACUUCGGACUGCUAUGUGUCUUGAAAAUUUCAGCAAUGGAUGCAAGGAUAUUUCCUGAGGUCAUGGAAACUGGAAAAGCCAGUGGAAACCAGGCAGACACAGUUCAUAAGGAGAAUACAGUGGAUCUCUCAAACAACCCCAGACAUCCCCCUACCACGAUGUCAAGGCAAAGGAGUCCACUGAAUUGUAUUCACCAGAUGGUCAGGCUACAGGGACACAGCCAUUCUGUCCCUCUGCUCAGGACAACUGUGAAAAGCUCCUCUCUGGGAGACUGGCAACAUUAGAAAGAUUAUAAACGUGGCCACUGAGACUGUAGCUCAGUACUGGCCCAUUACUGGAGAAGACCAGGCCCACUGUUGCAUUUUAAACACUGCAUAUCCUUCAACCCUCUAAACCUUUCAGUGCCUAGCCUACACAUGUGUGCACACCUGCACACUUACAAAAUGCACUCACACCCGACUGAUCAGCAGAGCUGAAGCCCAGAAAUAAGAAGCAUUUUUUUCAAUAGAUGGUUAAGGAAACUGUGGAACAUGUGUACCACAGAAAGUGGGUGUUCUUGGUGGACUGCUAUAGACAGAAGUGAGGAAGACCAAGUCCAGAAGAAAUGCUUGGACCGUUUGGAUAAACAGCAUGGGUUGCACAAGCACCUGCCUGUCUGUUCAGAAGUGAGAAUGGGCUCCCUCCAGCAGACAGAAGAAAAGACUGGAGAACAACUUAACCCAAGCCAAGCUCCCCAACUCCUUAAAUAAUCCAUACGGCAACUAGAAAAUGAUCUAGUCAUGAAGGGUUUGGCAAGAUGGAACAGCAGGUAAAAGCGCUUACCACGCCAGCCUGACAACAAGAAUCAGGUUCUUGGACCCCCCACAUUCAAAGGAGAGCACAGAGGAAGCAGCCCCCACCCCCAGCUGUGUCACGAACGCUGCUGUGUGCAUGCGUAUAUGCGUAUACAGCACACAAUAAUAAAAAAAAAAAUAGAAAAUGAGACUCAUGGGUGUUGUAACCUUAAAAACUAGACAUUGGGGCUAGGAGAACAGCCCUGUGUGCCCCUUGCCUAGCACACGAAGUCCCAAGUUGCAUUUCCAGCAUGAUAAAAAAGAAAAAUAAAAAUUAGACCUUAAAUAGUCACAUUUCAGCUGGAAAUUGUAGCUUGUGUCUGGGAUUCCAGCACUGUGGGGGUGGGAAGGCUGAGAUUGCCCUCUGUUGAGGCCAUCCUAGGCUAUUAUUUAGUGGAUUUCAGGCCAAGCUGGGCUCAUGUAAAACACUGUAUCAGUAAUAAAGGAUAGUAAUUUAUCUGCA